AUGAUAGGAAACGAAAUGGAGCCUCAUGCCGGAAGUUCUGUCAAAUUUGUCUUGCUAAAUGGAUCAAUGGGUAAAUCAUUUUAGACCGAUGAACUGUCCAACUGGGAAAUUUUCCAUAGUGGAUUUAGAAUACAGAUAACAACAAGUGAUUCGCUUAGUGAUACCAAAGCUCAUUGGUCCUACGGACUACGACAAAUCAAGAAACUGAAGAACUUAAUAAUUACCGACCGGUAACCGUGAAUACAUUCACCAAGUGCCAAGUAUGAAAGACCUACCCGAACUUAAAGAUUGGAUUGCAGAAAAGAUAUAACAAAUUGAUUUACAGUAUUUCAGUAUUUGGUACAAACAAGUGCAUGCUCUCACUUUAAAGAUGAAUGGGUAGAGAGAAAAGUUUAUUAAGUUAUCCAUGGAUUUUGAAAAAAUAAAGACAAAAAUUAACCGUUUCUGCAAGUUUUGUCUCACUUGUAAACAUACUGUCUAUUUCGUUUAUUUCGCAGCAAUUAUUUAUGAAAAAAAUUAUUCCAAAAUAGUUUGUAAUUUCUAGAAGUUUUAUUCAUCCUAUUAGAAUUUCUAAUAUUUUGUAUAAUUCUAGUUACAAGAUCUGUCUUAAAUGAUGAAAUAUAGCUUUUAUCAUAUCUGUA